rnacentral:misc_RNA from 1 species
GUGUCUAGUAAUGUUGAAAACAAAGUGUCGCCUAAUACCAAGUUCAUACAAUCCCACUCCAUCACAUCUGUGUCUCAUAGUAGCCUGCUCAGCGACUUGAUGAGCAGUUUUAAAUUCCGUUUUGUCCCUUCAUCACCGGUGAGUCCAAGAACUUCGGAGCUCAAACUCUCUACAUUCUGCAAAGUAUGAAUGAGCGUAUAAAUGGACUUGUGAAGCAGUUCUGUGUUUUCCGGGGUCAUAAUGGAUGCGUGCACGCUUCUUAACUCUUCCGUGGCAUGUGAAAGACUUCUAAGUUAAGUUUUCAAACUCCUUUAGAAGAUCACCAUCACGA